rnacentral:rRNA from 1 species
CUACCCAUGAGCAGGAUGAAGCGAAAGUAAAAUUUCGUGGAGGUCCGAACCCACGAGCGUUGAAAAGCUCGGGGAUGACUUGUGGGUAGCGGUGAAAUUCCAAUCGAGCACGGAGAUAGCUGGUUCUCCCCGAAAUAGCUUUAGGGCUAGCCUCAAGGUGAGAGAUACGGAGGUAGAGCACUGAAUGUCCUAGGGGGUAUUGCACCUACCGAAGACUAUCAAACUCCGAAUGCCGUCAUCUUAUACUUGGGAGUCAGACUGUGGGUGAUAAGAUUCAUAGUCGAAAGGGCAACAGCCCAGAUCGUCAGCUAAGGUCCCUAAAUGUAAGUUAAGUGGUAAAGGAUGUGGGAUUGCACAGACAACCAGGAUGUUGGCUUAGAAGCAGCCACUCAUUCAAAGAGUGCGUAAUAGCUCACUGGUCGAGUGAUCCUGCGCCGAAGAUUUCCGGGGCUAAAACUUACUACCGAAGCUACGGCAUCAGUAAGGAUGGGUAGGGGAGCUUCCCAUACGGGUUGAAGCAUGACCGUAAGGACAUGUGGACAGUAUGGGAGUGAGAAUGUUGGCAUGAGUAGCGAGAUGUGGGUGAGAAUCCCACAGGCCGUAAACCCAAGG